CCGAGCACCGGAUGUGAGGCUGGCCAGAAUGACCGGCGGCUGCUCGGCACCCGGGACCCCUCGGCAGUGUCUUGUCUCAGCGUUUGGCGUCUUGGGGCUCCGGACCGCUUGACGGUGGGACCCCAGCAAGGUGCUUGGCGUCUCUGAGCCUCAUCUUUCGCUUCUGUAGAAUGGAAUAUGACCCAUUGCACCCUCACGGGAUUACCAGACGCAGAGCAUCCGUGGGUCCCGUGAGGUAAAAACGUUGUCAUCCUCGCUUUCCACGCGGGAAAACAUGGCACGGCAAAGCGAGAGACACCCCCCCCCCCUUCCCUGGUGACGCUUUUUGCCCGCGGACCUCCAGGGACAGAGCUUCCAGUGGAGGACCCACCACAGAAAGCCAGAUGCGCCUACCUAACCCAUCACAUGUGGUUCAGCUGCCUCCAGUUUCCUAGGCAACAGCUUCACAUCAGGGCUCACUAGAGUCCCUGCGCCCCAUGGCUAAGCCCUUUCCACUCUUCUGCCUGCCUUUGAAUCUCUGCCAAACAAGUGACAGUAACCAACACCCUUUGCAAAGCAAGUUCUGAGCAUUUAUUUCAACCUUUGUCUCCUCAUUAUUGAGUUAUAGGAUUUCCUUGUACAUUUUGAAGGGACUGGGGAACGGAGCCAGGGACAAGAUGCAAGGAUGUUCCUUCAUGGACUACUCCCUCCAAAUAGGCCUAUCUCCUUAAGUUUCCACACCUUCUAACAGUACCACCAGUUGGGGACCACGCUUUCACCACAUGAGCCUUUGGGGGACAAACUGUAACACUGGGUGUAAGGGUAUGUUGAAUGACAUUAGUAUUUAAAUUGGUGGACUUUUAAUAAAUACGCUGCCCUCCACAGAGUGUCUGGGCCUCUUCCAAUCAGUUGAAAGCAUGAGUAGAACAAAAAUUCUGACUUCCUCAGAGCAAGAGGGAAUGCAGCAGCACAGACUUGGGACAUGAAUAACUCAUGGGUCUGAGGCCUGUUGACCCACUGCGCAGAUUUUGGAUUUGUCGGCCUCCAUAAUCAUGAGCCAAUUCCUUAAACACCUUCCCCCCACCACCACCACACACACUGUUAUUGGUUCUGUUUCCCUGGAGAACCAUGACCAAUACAGUGCACUUCCUGGCUGUGUCCACUACAGUUAGAGGGGUGUUAAAGUCUCCAACCAUAACAGCUGAUUCAUCUAAUUUUACUUAUAUUUCUGUUAGUUUUUACCUCACAUAUUUGGUACUCUGUGCUAGAUGCAUACAAGUUGGUAUGUCUUCUUAGACAACUGAAUCCUAUUUAUUCCUGAAAUUUUUCUUUGUUCUGUAGUGUAUCUGAAAUUAAUACAACCACUCUUAAUUUUCUUUUGCUAGCAAGGUAUAUCUUUCUGCAUCUCCCUCACUUCUAUAUGUGGUAAAAUAUAUAUAACACAAACUCUACCAUUCUAACAAUUUUUAAGUAUAUAAUUCAGUGCUCUUCAGUACUUUCACAAUGUUGUGCAAGUUAACACUACCAUCAAUUUAUAGAACUUUGAGUCAUCCUAAACAGAAACUCUGCACCCAUUGAACACUAAUCCUUUCCUCCCUCCACUGCCACUGGUAAUCUCUAUUCUACUUCCUUUUUUCUAAGGAUUUCCCUCCAGUAGUUUCACAUAUGAAUAGAAUCAUACAAUAGUUGACCUUUUUUGUCUUCAAGGUUCACCCAUGCUGUAUCAUGGAUCAGAAUCUCAUGACUUUUAAAGGCUGAAUAGUAUUUGAUUGUAUGUAUACACCACAUUUUUGUUGAUUUAUUUAUUUGUCUGUUAGUGGACACUGGUCUAGAACUAUAUGCUUGAGUCCUUGCUUUCAACUCCUUGAAGUAUAUACCCACAAAUGAAAAUCCUGAAACAUAUGGUAACUAUUUUUACUUUCUGAGGAAUUGCCAAAUUGUUUUCCAGUGCAGUGCACCAUUUAACACUUCCACUACCAAUAUCCAAAGAUUCCAAUUUCUCCAUAUCCUCAUCCCUUGCCAUUGCAUAUUUUGUUUUGUGUUUUAAGUACUAGCUUCCUAGUACUAGUGGGGAGCUUAUCCUGUUACUUUUAAUCUAUUUGUAUCCCUACUUUUAAGGUGGGUUACUUAUGACAACAUAUGGUUGGGGAUUGUUUAUUUUUAAUUCACUCUGACAGUCUUUUAAUUGGUAUAUUUAAACCAUUCUCAUUUAAAGUAAUUAUUGCUGUAGUUAGAUGAAGACCUACUUAUUUUAACUGUUUAUUGUCCUCAUUCUUUCUUUGUGUGCUUCAGUCAUUUCUGCUCUCUGCUUUUGAACAUUUUAUGAGUUCAAUUCCUUUUCUCUAUUGGUAUACCAAUUGUACUUUUUUAAAAAUUAGUAUUUGUCUUGGAAUUUUCAACAUACAUUUAAAGCUAAUCCGAGUCUAUUUUUAACUAACAUUAUCACUUCCCAGGCAGGGCAAGUAUUGUACAUAACACAAUCGUUUCUCACUCCUGUUACUCUUAAUGUUGCUAUCAUUCACCUAUCCAUGACCUAUAAUCAUUAAAAACAUUAUUAUUAUUAUUAUUUUGAGCAAUCACUAAGAGUAAGAAACGAUUUUCACUUUACUUUCAUUUAUUCCUUUACUAGCUUAUUUAUUAUAAAUGCUUCCCUUCGUGUAGAACCACGUUUCAGACUUGUAUUUUAUUUAUUUAUUUGUUUGUUUAUUUAUUUUUGGUACCAAGGACACUUCAACCACUGAGCCAUAUCCCUAGCCCAUUUAUUUUUUAUCUUGAGACAGGGUCUCCAUAGGUUUUUACAGCCUCACUAAGUUGCUAAAGCAGGCUUCAAACCUGCAAUCCUCCUGCCUCAGCCUCCCAAGCCACUGAGAUUACAGGUGUGCGCCACCAGGCCUGGCAGACCUAUAUUAUUUCUCUUCUCUCUGAAGAGCUUCAAUAUAUCCUGCAAGUCAUGCCUACGGAGUCAAAUUUCCUAAAUUUCUUUUUAUAUGAGAAAGUCUUUCACUUGUGAAGGAUAAUUUCAAUGGAGGUAAAAUUCUAGAUGGAUAGUUUUUCUUCCUUUGAAAACCUUUAAAUAUUUUGCUCUAUUUCUUGCUUGUAUGGUUCCUAUAGAGAAGUCUGAUGUAAUUUUCAUCUGUGUUCCUCUGUAGAUAAGGUGUUUUCCCUCUCUGGCUUGUUUCAAAGUUUUCUCUUUGUCUUUGGUUUUCUGCAGUUUGAAAACUAUAUGCGUAGGUGUAGAUUUUUGUUGUUUGUUUGUUUUGUAUUUAUCCUCCUUGGUGUCCUCUAAGACCAAUUUUUGUCACCAAUUUUUGCCAAUCACUAGUUCUUCUGACUUCCCAUUGCAUGUAUGCUACAUCUCUUGCAGUUGUCCCAAAGUUCUUGGGUAUUCUGUUCCGUUUUGUUCAUUCCUCUUUUUCAGUUCCAGAAGUUUCUGAAACUUACCUUCAAAAUCACUUGACUCUUUGCUUAGCUGUGCCCAGUCCACUAACAAGUCCUUCAUUACUGAUUUAUGUUAGAGUAGUUUUUGUUUGUUUGUUUGUACCAGGGGCACUUACCAACUGAGCCACAUCCCCAGUCUUUCUUUAAUUUUCAGAUAGGGUCUUGCUGAGUUGCUCAGGACCUCGCUAAGUUACUGAGGCUGGCUUUGAACUUGCAAUCCUCCUGCCUCAGCCUUCUAAGUCACUGGGACUACAGGUGUGUGCCACUGUACCUGGCUUGUUAGAAUGUUUUUGAUUUCUAUCAUUUCCCUGGAUUCUUAAUUACAGUUCCCACCUAUCUGCUUCUAUCACCCAUUUAUUUUUUGCACGUCGUCUAUCUCUUCCGUAUCUAAGUCUGGCUCCGUCCGAUGUUUGCUUUGCCUCUUCAGACUGUAAUUUUUUUGUUGAAAGUUAGAUAUGAUAUAUUGGGUAAAAUGAACAGGUAAAUAGGCCAUUAGAAAAUGAGGUUUUAUGUUUUAUCUAUCUAGAGUUAGGCUGUGAUUACCAUUUGGCAUAGAUGUAGGCGGCAGAGACAAAGUUCCCCCUCAUGGUAUUGCUUUUGCCUCCUGUAAUGCCUGUGGAUUUCCCUAAAGACUUUACCUCAGACAUGCUAGAAUUUACUGCUGAGCCACACCCCAGCCUCCUAGAGACUUCUUAAAUAGGGUCUUAGUCUUGCAGUUCUUCCUGUUCUGAUCUCUUUAGUAUAUAGGAGCCUAACUGAUGUGGUGAUCAAGUGUCAGGGAAUGAUAAUCUAUAAUUCCAUGGCUAGGUCAGUCUUUGUGACCUUCAGAAGUACUUGUUGUCUGUCCCUCCUCAGAUAACAAUAGGGAGACUGAUUCAUGUUGGAAUUUAAUCCCUAAUGCCAUGGUAUUAAGAAGUAGGGCCUGUAAGAGGUGAUUAGGCCAUGAGAGCUCUGCCCUCAUGGAUGGGAUUAGUGACUUUAUAGAAGGGCAGGAGGUCAACUAGCCAGGCCCCCUUUUUGCCCUUCCCUUCUCUCCCUUCCUCCAUGUGAGGACCGAGUGUUCUCUCCCUCUGCAGGGCACAGCAACAAGGUACCAUAUUGGAAGCUAAGACCUCACCAGACACUGGACCUGAUGUCUUUAUCUUGGACUUUCCAGCCAGAACUUUGGGAAAUAAAUUUUUGUUCUUUAUA